ensembl:lncRNA
AACACUACUUAAAAAUAUUUUAUGUGUUCAUUUUAGAUCUCCAAAUCCCUGUCAUUAUUCACUAUGCUUCGUGAAUUUUGGUUGGAAAAAUAACAUUGUUUUAAGGAAUUUCUUUUUAAUUUUAGAGUAGACCAUUAAUCAUCAGGCUAAUCUAUGAGUUUGUUUCUUUGUUUUUCAAGUCAGUCUUUUCCAGAUAGUGGGACUUGCCUUCUCAGUUUAGGAAACUGUUUCUUUAAGGUGUCCUGGGAAUUGUGGAGCAAAUAUAGUGACAAGUCUUUAAUUGGUCUGGAGUAGCUGAUCUGAACAAUUGCUUCCCAGGGUUUAAGGCCUUGAAAGCAAAAUGUUUUUGGCUUGUGUCAACAAUAAAUAACAUCUUAUUCUCAGCUCACCUAGGAGUUCAUCACUUAGUAGAGGGCUUGUAGAGCUCUCUUGUCAUAUCUAACACUGACCCUGCUGCCACAUUCUUCAACAUUUAAGGACCCUUGUGAUUACAUUGGACCCACCUGGAUAAUCCGGAAGAUUCGCCCCAUCUCAAAGUCAGCUGACUAGGAACUUUAAUUCCUUUUGUAACCAUAAUUGCCCUUUACUACAAGGUAAACAUAACAUUCACACGUUUUGGGGAUUAGCAUGUGCACCUCUUUAAAGGGCUAUCAUUCUGCUUACCAUAGAUCCCAUUGAGAAACAGCUGAAAAUUAUCAUUCAAAUUCUCCAACUGUGGCCCCUCUACCUGUAGCAUCAGUAUCACCUGGGAAUUUGUUAGGUAAAUCUCAGUUUCCACCCAAGAUCUGCUGAACCAGAAUCUCUAGGACUGGGCCCGGCCAUCUGUAUUUUCACAAGCCCUCCAGGUGAUUCUGAUGCAUACCAAUGUUUGAGAAUCACUGUUUUAAGUAAUGUCAUAAGGAACCAGAAUAAAAAUUCAAGCAAACUCUCCAUUUUGACUUAAUACUGUCAGUUGAUAGAGAACUUUACAUUUUACUUAGUAUUUUACUUAUAAUUUAAGGUUCCAGGAACCUAAAGCAUUCUGGAGGUACCCUAGAGCCUCGGAGGAUGCAUGAAGACCAAGCAAUGUGUGAUGUUGCCUCUUCUCAAUCCCACAUUGAUGUCCAGCAGAGUUACUUCCACCUGUUUGCUGUUGACUUUUGCUGCAGGUCUAGCUGAGUGAGAUGAAAUGCAGAGCAAUCUAGAACCCUUUGUUAACAAAAUUAGGUAAGAGAAAAUAUUCAAGACGCUCCAUUCAUCUUUAGAAUACUCUGCUGUGUUUGCUUUCUCCUACACAAACUGAGACUCUGAGGCAGUGACUGACUUCCCCAAAUCCCACAGCCAGAAAGUGAAGUUAAUAUGACAUCAUACAGCCUGUUGAGGAGCCAUCAGCUUAUCAUCCAUGGCCGAUUGUGGUGUCUGAACAGAAAGAUAAUCCACUAAAAAAAAUAAAAAGGACCAAAAAUAAACAAAAGGCCUGUCCAACUGCUGUUUGCCUGAAGCUGGCGUCUGAGAAGAACUUUCCCAGAAACAGGCAGCACCUGAAAUUACCAAGUAUAAAUACGAUGGGAAGAAAUAGGCAUGAAAGAAGUUUGAAAAAGCUCUGGUUUUAGUGUUUGCUUCUUGCAGCGUUGCCUGAGGGCCUGGUUUCUUCUUCAACAUGCAGGACUCUUCAAAGUGAAAUCAACGGGAUUUCCUCCCUUCCACAUUAUCCCUCCUGUCCACUCCGCAUCGGUGACCAUCCUGAAUUUAUCAAGUUCUCUUCUGUUAUUAUGUAAAGACCUCUUGGGUUUACAUAUAGUCCUCAAAGUCUUUCUCAAUUAAGACUUCAAAAUUUAAAACUAUUAAUUGAAACAUUAUGUGACAGGCACUUUGAUAAAUCCUGAAGUUACAGGGCUGAACCAGACAGACAUAAUUCCGGUCUCACUAAGCUUAAAUAAGGACAUAUAUUUCCCUGUCCUCCACAAAUGCAAUUUCUUUUUUAUUUUUGCUUUCCACUAGUCCAAUUGCUGUAACAACUUUGUGAUGUUACCUAUUUGUUGUUUUCACAUUUAUCUCAGAUGUGCACAAAUUUUCAAAGCUAACAUUAUAUUGGUCUGAAAUGAUAUGCUAUUUUAAGGAAGAUUGUGCAAAUUAUAUUUCCAACUGCCUUCAGGCUGUUUCCAUUUUUCUGUGGGCUGCGUCCUCGCCUUUGUUUUCCGGAUCUGAUUAGGCUUGGGAAGCAACGUGAAAUAGGUCAGAUGGACUGGGAUUUGAACUUUACUUGGGAAUUUUAAUGUAAUAUUUCUAGGUCUCAGUUUUCUCAGUUAAAAUGGAUUACCUCUUACCAUAUAAGGUUGUUGUGAAGAUUAAAGUAUGUGUGCAUGAGUGUAUAUCUAUACAUAUGUAUAGAUAUACAUAUAUUUUAAAAUGGAGAGAGAUUUAUUUAAAACCGUGACUGACAUGUAAUGGGUGCUCAAUAAGUGUUUGUCCUCAUAUCCCCACCUCUUCCUAGUUAAUUAUUCUUAUGAAAUAUGAACGUUUUCGUUUUUCUCCUCCAUCCCAUCGCCUCAGUCCCGGCACCACGUCUUGUGUAAAGACCCCUGCAUUAGCCUCCUAUUGUUUUUCUCUCCAAUCCUUCACCUGUAAUCUUUCUAAAUGGUUGCUUUCACCAUGAUUCUCCCCUGCUAGGUAUAUCCUGCAAACACUUACUGCCCUUCACAGUGCUCUUUCUGGUGUUCUUCCUGCUUUACUUUCGUUUACUCUUGGUAAAACUACUUCCAUCCUCUCCAUUGCAGGAUCAGUUCAAUUUGGUUGUACUUACUGCUUUUCUUUCCCUAGGUGUAUCAUUCUCAGUUUUGCCUCUGAGUCUUUGCUUAUGUUGUGGUAGGAUUUUAAGUUGUGAGUCAACUUUAAUUUUGGAAGAAAAUGGUUAAAACUUGACUUACAUGCUACAUGUGCUUAAUAUAAUUUGUUAGGUCUCUUUGAUUAUAAGCUACAGAAAUCAAACUAGCUUAGGCCAAAAAAGUAAAUUAGUGUUUCAUGGAAUCCAGGUACAAUUUGCACAACUUAAACUGCAGGAGGACAGGGAUUCAACAGGGUCGUAAGAAGAGCUGGAAGCAGAGACUAGACAGGCCUCAGGGCUCACGCCGUCUCUCGUCACUGCUCCUCUUGGCCUUUUAGUUUCACCCUUUCUCCCUGAAAGUUUGCUUCUUCCACAUACUUGGCGCCUUGCCAAAGGUCCUCUGAAAGAGAGGAGGCUGAUUUUCUUUCAAGGACUCUGAUUGGUCUAGCUAAGGUCAGGUGUCCACUCCUGGACUGUUUAAGUCUGUCUCGGCAGCAUGAUCAUGUAGAGGUGUGGAAGUUCCCGCUGUAGUCGUGUAUAAGUGUGAGUGUGUGCGCGUAAGUGCAGGGUAUGGCUGGGAGCCGUUCUCAGAUGAAGAAGGGGAAGAAUGCUAGCUGUGAACAUUGUGCAUGUAUUAUUAUUAACAUCAGCUCUGGGUACUUGAGGGUGGAUUCCUUGUGCUCUUGAGUUUGUCAUCAAGGGAGACACAACAUGUUCACACAAAUCUCCUUUGAUAUUAAUGAGAGAGAUGUUACACUGAUCGUGGCCCACUGGCAUGCUAAAAAGACAUUUUUUAUGCUAUUGUAACUUACUUGCGAGGGCUUUCUGUGAGUUUGGGAAUAUAAUUAAUAUUUAUCUUUUGGAUGUAAUCACCAGUUAUGUAAUAUUCACAGUAGUGUCACACAGUUAAACUUGUUUCACCUGUUUGAACAUAUACUUCUGAAACAAACUAACAAGUGAAAUCAUCUUGUAUAACACCAGUUAUACCUAGGCCACUGCGAAGGCCAAUAGUGCACCAAUAAUACUCCCUGUCAGCACUUUAGUAACUGGAACAGCCUUUAUUUCACAUGAUGUCUUUUGGUACAUUGAAUAUUACAGAAAACAAGAAUGAUAAUUAUAGAAUCAUUCUAAUAUUUAUUCUCCAAAAUGGAAUCACAUUCAUUAGAUAAGUAAAGUUGUUUCUAGCCACAUUUUGAAGUUCUAUUUAGCUUUGCAAUACCCUUUUCAUAUUGAUGAGACCCUUGAAAUUUAAGAAAAUUUUUAUUGUUUGCAUCUGUCAAAAGUAAAAAGGAAACAAAAGAAAUGUAGACAUCUAAUUCAGACUUCAGGUUUCUAAUCACCCUGUGGGGUUCUCUACCUGUAAGUGUAAUAGCUGAAGUGAAAUGUUAG